rnacentral:rRNA from 1 species
UGCGAGUUUAGGGGCUCCUUCGGGAGCACCGGCGGACUGCUCAGUAACACGUGGACAACCUACCCUCGGGUGGGGGAUAACCUCGGGAAACUGAGGCUAAUACCCCAUAGGCCUCGGAUACUGGAAGGUUCCGAGACCGAAAGCUCCGGCGCCCGAGGAUGGGUCUGCGGCCUAUCAGGUAGUUGGUGGUGUAAAGGACCACCAAGCCUACGACGGGUACGGGCCCUGAGAGGGGGAGCCCGGAGAUGGACUCUGAGACACGAGUCCAGGCCCUACGGGGCGCAGCAGGCGCGAAACCUUCGCAAUGCGCGAAAGCGCGACGAGGGGAGCCCGAGUGCCCUUCCUUUCGGGAGGGCUUUUCUGGAGCCUAAAAAGCUCCAGGAAUAAGGGCUGGGCAAGACGGGUGCCAGCCGCCGCGGUAAU